rnacentral:snRNA from 1 species
CUUGCUUUGGCAGAACAUACUAAAAUUGGAACGAUACAGAGAAGAUUUGCAUGGCCCCUGUGCAUGGAUGACACACAAAUUCAUGAAACGUUCUGUAUUUUA